GACGAAUGCUGGCGGCGUGCCUAAUACAUGCAAGUAGAACGCAGUUGCGAACGGGUGAGUAACGCGUAGGUAACUGCCUCAUAGCGGGGGAUAACUAUUGGCAACGAUAGCUAAUACCGCAUACUGUGCGAUGGACCUGCCUUGUAUCAGCUAGUUGGUGAGGUAAAGGCUCACCAAGGCGCCGAUACAUAGCCGACCUGAGAGGGUGAUCGGCCACACUAGGACUGAGACACGGGCCAGAAGCCUACGGCAGGCAGCAGUAGGGAAGCUUCGGAAAUGGACGGCAGUCUGACCGAGCAACGCCGCGUGAGUGAAGAGAGGUUUCGGAUCGUAAAGCUCUGUUGUUAGAGAAGCGGUAACUAACCGGAAAGGGACAACUAACUACGUGCCAGCAGCCGCGAUAAUAC
rnacentral:rRNA from 1 species